rnacentral:rRNA from 1 species
CAGCAGCCGCGGUAAUACGGAGGAGGCAAGCAUUGUCCGGAAUUAUUGGGCGUAAAGAACACGUAGGUGGUUUUUCAAGUCAUGUGUGAAAACUUUGGGCUCAACUCAAAGAUUGCAUAUGAUACUGAUUAACUAGAGUACAGUAGAGGAAAGUGGAAUUCCUGGUGUAGCGGUGAAAUGCGCAGAUAUCAGGAAGAACACCGGUGGCGAAAGCGGCUUUCUGGACUGUUACUGACGCUGAGGUGUGAAAGCUAGGGGAGCGAACAGGAUUAGAUACCCUGGUAGUCCUAGCCGUAAACGAUGGACACUAGGUGUGGGGAGUUAUCGACGCUCUCUGUGCCGAAGCUAACGCAUUAAGUGUCCCGCCUGGGGAGUACGGUCGCAAGACUAAAACUCAAAGGAAUUGACGGGGGCCCGCACAAGCGGCGGAGCAUGUGGCUUAAUUCGACGCAACGCGAAGAACCUUACCAAGGCUUGACAUCAUAUUGACAAGUACAGAAAUGUACCUCCUUCGGGCAAUAUGACAGGAGGUGCAUGGCC